UUCGUCUUCUAUCCAUCUGGCUAAUGUAUUGCUACUAAGUAGGUUGGAGAGUUGGAAUCCCAGAUCGAUAAUUUUGAAGCUGAGAUUGAGGGUCUAUCAGUUAAAAAAGGGAAGACAAGGCCGCCCAGAUUGAUACAUCUAGAGACAUCCAUCACUAGACACAAGUCCCAUAUAAAGAAGUUAGAGGGGAUCUUGAGGCUCCUGGACAAUGAUGAAUUGAGUCCAGAGCAGGUCAAUGAUGUCAAAGACUUCUUGGAGGAUUAUGUAGAGCGUAAUCAGGAUGAUUUCGAUGAAUUUAGUGAUGUGGAUGAGCUCUAUAGCUCAUUACCAUUAGACAAGGUGGAGUCUCUUGAAGAACUUGUUAACAUUGGCCCUCCUGGUCUCGUGAAGGUACUUUUCCUAACACUGUAUCUCUUCCUGAUUCUUGUAGUAUGGUUGAGUUCAGAAAAUAAUAAUUGUGCUUCAUUUUUUUUUCAAUUUCUUGUUCUAAUUUCUCUUUUCCUUUGGGUGGGUUUGUGAGAUGUUAGAAAGUAACAUAUGGUGAAGCUUUUCUUUCUAGAGUUAUUAAUCAGUUAUUUGCCUUACUGCUUUCUCACUUCAAAAUUCUGAUUUGCAACUUCUUAUAUAUUAUUGGUUCACGUGUGAUCUGUGGGGAUAUUAUCUGCAAAGUUCUGGUUGAUGCUUGCGUCCAUUUUUUAUGCUCAAUGUCAUAAGCAUUCAACGUUGAGAGACUUGUUUGCUUUCUGAAACUAGAAUCAUGCUCCUAUUGAUGGGUGUGAAAUUGUCAACUGUUGCCCAGAGUUGAAUUGGCUGAUAAUCUAACUAGAUUUAUGGUUGGUGUGAAGUUUACUUUUACUUGUAUCAAUUCUCUGAUAACAAACUGAUAAGGUAUGCAAUCAGCAUGUAAUUAGACUUUGUUUUUUUCUUUUAUAGUUAUAGCUUGCAAUCCAUGUGGUAUAGUUGAUCAAUGGGUAAAAAGGAUGUGUAACCAACCCUUAGUAGGGUUGAGUGAGUUGUUUAGGCAUGAGUGAUUGUUUCUUUGAUUAAUGUAUUAUAUAAUACCUGUUUCUUCAUCGAGAUGUGGUGUGAAGGCUUUUGAUUAGGCUCUUUGACAUCUUUAGUGCAAGUUGGUUUGUGGUUUGUUUUUUUUUUUUGGUUGGAAAAGAAUGCU